rnacentral:rRNA from 1 species
UACCAGCGCCCCGAGUGGUCGGCACGAUUAUUGGGCCUAAAGCGUCCGUAGCCGGUCAUGCAAGUCUUCCGUUAAAUCCAGCCGCUCAACGGUUGGGCUGCGGAGGAUACUACGUGGCUAGGAGGCGGGAGAGGCAAGCGGUACUCAGUGGGUAGGGGUAAAAUCCUUUGAUCCAUUGAAGACCACCAGUGGCGAAGGCGGCUUGCCAGAACGCGCUCGACGGUGAGGGAUGAAAGCUGGGGGAGCAAACCGG